GAUGAAGAACGUAGCGAAAUGCGAUAAGUAAUGUGAAUUGCAGAAUUCAGUGAAUCAUCGAAUCUUUGAACGCACAUUGCGCCAGCCAGUAUUCUGGCGGGCAUGCCUGUCUGAGCGUCAUUUCAACCCUCAUGCCCCUAGGGCGUGGUGUUGGGGAUCGGCCAAAGCCCGCGAGGGACGGCCGGCCCCUAAAUCUAGUGGCGGACCCGUCGUGGCCUCCUCUGCGAAGUAGUGAUAUUCCGCAUCGGAGAGCGAUGAGCCCCUGCCGUUAAACCCCCAACUUUCCAAGGUUGACCUCAGAUCAGGUAGGAAUACCCGCUGAACUUAAGCAUAUCAAUAAGCGGAGGA
rnacentral:misc_RNA from 1 species